AGAGUUUGAUCAUGGCUCAGGACGAACGCUGGCGGCGUGCCUAAUACAUGCAAGUCGAGCGGAGCACUUCGGUGCUUAGCGGCGGACGGGUGAGUAACACGUAGGCAACCUGCCUGUAAGACUGGGAUAACUACCGGAAACGGUAGCUAAGACCGGAUAACCGGUUCCUUCGCAUGGAGGGAUCGUGAAACACGGGGCAA
rnacentral:rRNA from 1 species